rnacentral:rRNA from 1 species
AGUUUGAUCCUGGCUCAGGAUGAACGCUAGCUACAGGCUUAACACAUGCAAGUCGAGGGGAAACGAUAGAGAAAGCUUGCUUUUUCUAGGCGUCGACCGGCGCACGGGUGAGUAACGCGUAUCCAACCUGCCUAUCACUUGGGGAUAACUUUGCGAAAGUAAGACUAAUACCCAAUGACGUCUCUAGAAGACAUCUGAAGGAGAUUAAAGAUUUAUCGGUGAUGGAUGGGGAUGCGUCUGAUUAGCUUGUUGGCGGGGUAACGGCCCACCAAGGCGACGAUCAGUAGGGGUUCUGAGAGGAAGGUCCCCCACAUUGGAACUGAGACACGGUCCAAACUCCUACGGGAGGCAGCAGUGAGGAAUAUUGGUCAAUGGGCGAGAGCCUGAACCAGCCAAGUAGCGUGCAGGAUGACGGCCCUAUGGGUUGUAAACUGCUUUUAUAAGGGAAUAAAGUGAGUCUCGUGAGACUUUUUGCAUGUACCUUAUGAAUAAGGACCGGCUAAUUCCGUGCCAGCAGCCGCGGUAAUACGGAAGGUCCGGGCGUUAUCCGGAUUUAUUGGGUUUAAAGGGAGCGUAGGCCGGAGAUUAAGCGUGUUGUGAAAUGUAGACGCUCAACGUCUGCACUGCAGCGCGAACUGGUUUCCUUGAGUACGCACAAAGUGGGCGGAAUUCGUGGUGUAGCGGUGAAAUGCUUAGAUAUCACGAAGAACUCCGAUUGCGAAGGCAGCUCACUGGAGCGCAACUGACGCUGAAGCUCGAAAGUGCGGGUAUCGAACAGGAUUAGAUACCCUGGUAGUCCGCACGGUAAACGAUGGAUGCCCGCUGUUGGUCUGAAUAGGUCAGCGGCCAAGCGAAAGCAUUAAGCAUCCCACCUGGGGAGUACGCCGGCAACGGUGAAACUCAAAGGAAUUGACG